CGGCCGCGUCGACGGCAGAGGGAAUUCCUGGUGUAGCGGUGAAAUGCGUAGAGAUCAGGAAGAACAUCGGUGGCGAAGGCGCUCUGCUGGACCAUAACUGACACUCAGGGACGAAAGCUAGGGGAGCGAAUGGGAUUAGAUACCCCAGUAGUCCUAGCCGUAAACGAUGGAUACUAGGUGUUGUCUGUAUCUACCCGGACAGUGCCGUAGCUAACGCGUUAAGUAUCCCGCCUGGGGAGUACGCACGCAAGUGUGAAACUCAAAGGAAUUGACGGGGGCCCGCACAAGCGGUGG
rnacentral:rRNA from 1 species